rnacentral:rRNA from 1 species
GACAGAGGGGGCAAGCGUUGCUCGGAAUUACUGGGCGUAAAGGGCGCGUAGGCGGGAUGGCAAGUCGGUCGUGAAAUCCCUCGGCUCAACUGAGGAUCGUCGAUCGAUACUGCUGUUCUUGAGGAUUGCAGAGGAGACUGGAAUUCCCGGUGUAGCGGUGAAAUGCGUAGAUAUCGUAAGGAAGGCCGGUGGCGAAAGCGAGCCUCUGGACAGUUACUGACGCUGAUGCACGAAGGCCAGGGGAGCAAACGGG